rnacentral:rRNA from 1 species
CCUACGGGCGGCAGCAGUGAGGAAUAUUGGUCAAUGGGCGCGAGCCUGAACCAGCCAAGUAGCGUGAAGGAUGACUGCCCUACGGGUUGUAAACUUCUUUUAUAAAGGAAUAAAGUGAGGCACGUGUGCCAUUUUGUAUGUACGUUAUGAAUAAGGAUCGGCUAACUCCGUGCCAGCAGCCGCGGUAAUACGGAGGAGCCGAGCGUUGUCCGUAUUUAUUGGGUUUAAAGGGAGCGUAGAUGGGUUGUUAAGUCCGUUGUGAAAGUUUGCGGCUCAAACUUAAAAUUGCUUCUGAUACUGGCAGUCUUGAGUACAGUUGAGGUAGGCGGAAUUCGUGGUGUAGCGGUGAAAUGCUU